GGAGAGGUGGCUGAGUCUGGUCUAAGGCGCCCGCCUGGAGAGCGGGUAGGCAAGCAAUCACUUGCCUCGUGGGUUCGAAUCCCACCCUCUCCGCCA
rnacentral:tRNA from 1 species